rnacentral:sRNA from 1 species
GUGUGUGGCGGGGUGGGGGCAGGCAGUUUGCUGAGCCAGCUCAAGUGUGCAUGGUGAGCAGUGCAGGGAGGGCAUGGGUGCUGAAGGAAAAUGUCCCUCCCAGGACAUGCGCAGGUUCGGUCCACACCGGCUCUGUAUACUUUGCUAAUGCUUAUUCCAUUGUGGUUCCACACAAAUUAUUUUCUCCUAACAACAAUAUGGAGACGAGAAGGCAGGGCUAUCUGAGGCCCUGGCCACUUUCUGGUUGAGGUCCUUGCUUCACAGAGGCAUGAAAAGAAUGUGUUUGUGAGGGAAGGGGAGACAUUCCGGGUCAGUCCUGCAGCUCAGAGCAUCACGGGGCUGGAGCUUUGCUGAGUCACGGUGCCUAGGCAAAGGGAAAUAGCAGCUGUGGCGCUGCAUGUCUGGGAGGAGAGGCUGGUGUGAAGAAGACAGGGUGUCAAGUCACACCCAGAAAUUACUGAUACAGUCCUCUUAGCCCGCUUGCACUAGGGAUCCCUGUCUGCAACUUCCUGGCUGAAAUGACAGGUGCUGACUGGAUUGGACGUCUGAUGCCGUGGUUAGUGUCUUUCAUGCUCACGGGUAACAGACUCUGAACCCGCUCCUUCCUGCUGAGCAGUUCUGAUGCUGGGCAGUCUGGUGGGAAGGAACACAAAGCAGAUGCUUAGCCAAUCAGGACGCUGCACUCAUUUGCCCACAGUAAGGAGUGGGCUGGAGAUGGCACAGUCAUGGAGGCUCCAACAGCCUCUCGAUGGUACCCUUCACCUGUCAGGUGAACGACCACCACCGUUUUGAGCCAUGACUGCUCUCUGGGGUGAGCAUUUUGCCGGAGGGUUAAAGAGUGGGUGUGUUCUCAGCUCACAGAUGAACACUGGCAAAGCCCACCUGAUGGCCACAGUAUACAUCGUGCUGAAGGUGGGCAGGCUCUUUCAGAAGCCUGAGGCUUCAGACCCAAGAGGCCUGGCAGAAAAAUGCCUCGGCUCUGGAGGGCAUGUGGGAAUAGCACGCCUCAGGGGAUGGUGGGCAGCACUUUUUCCAUUAAGUUGUCUCUCCUCCUUUAAUUACCUUCCUCUGGGAGGCUGGAAAGGUCAGGCAGCAGGGACUGCAUCCCCCUCGCACACCCCCUACCCCAGCACAGGACCUCAGCUCAGGCUUCUCGGCUCGGAGAUGAAAUUUAUCUUUCUUCCUCUUCUCAGAGAAGGAUGAGCUCACUAGUGACAAGAGUGGCCUUCUUUCCUUCCUUUUCCCCAAAUACUGAGAGAAGUGGGAGGCCAGCCUGCAAAUGUCACAGAAGCCUAUAAAAUGCUGAGCUCAGACGGAUGCCAGGCAUAGCUGGGGUUGCUGGGCUGAUGAGAUGGGCGACUCCAUCAUCUGCUAAGAAUCCAUUGUUCUGCAGCGGCUUGGACACAAUGGUGAGGCUGAGGCAGGGGAGACAGAGGGGGGCAGGGUGGGUACAGUGACUAGGCGUUUCUCUUCGAACCCCGGCUUUUCGUGGGGGUGUGUGUGUGUAGAGGGGCAGGGCAGGGUUAGUCAACAGGCAGUCAGUCCAUGGGUGGGAUGAGAACACCCCAAACCAGGGCCACAAAUUCCCCACCUUACAAAGCAGAGCAAAACAAAACAAAACAAAACAACCAACACCCAAACAAAGAAAGGGAGGCGGGAGGCAUCUCUUUGGAAAGAUUUUGAAGUUCUUUGCUUAAAAGGAAACUUCGAAGUCUCUAAGGGCAAAUCUAGAAUUUUCCUCAGUGUUUCAUGUUUGGAGUUCCAGAUGGUAGGUGGGCUUCAUGAACUCCACAGGGCGAAGGCACGUUGUGGAUUAUGAGUGUGUGCAGUCAAGGAAGACCUUGAAAUUCUGCUGGGAUUACAGUGGUGCACCUCCAUGUCCGGUUCAUGCUGCACUGGGGAUGGAGCCCAGGACUUUGUACAUGCUAGACAAGUGCUCCACCAACGGUCACAUCCCCAGCCCUGGGCUAGGACUGCUACUGGGUUUACUGGUGCUGGGAUUCCCUUGUGGGCAGGAGAUGGUUUGACAAGCAGGCUGUGAGUGGCCCUAACAGACAUACCCCCUCCCCCCCGGAUGGGUAGAGAUUUUAUCUUUAAUUUUAAUCAUUUUUAUGAUUUAUUUUACCUAUAUGACUGUUUAGACUGCAUACAUGUAUUUAUACCACAUGCGUGCCCAGUGCUGGAUAAAAUCAAAAGGUCAAAAGGUCAAAAUGAGGCCUUGGAUUCCUUAGAAUUGGAGUUACAGAUGGUUGUGAGGAACCAUGUGGGUCCUGGGAAUGGAGCACAGGUCCUCCACACGAACCCUUAAGUGCUCAGCCCUCUCCAGCCCUGGAACACACGUUUGAUCCUCUCCAAAGGGCUGGCACUUCAGGCAGGAUUGGAUGCUGCUUUGUUCUUUUUUACUUCGGUGUGCUUUUUUUUUCCCAGAAGUUUUGCAUAUACAUUUAUCAAUGUUAAAUUAUAUAAUAUGUGGUUAUAUUCUUCUUAUGCAAGGAACCGAGGAGAUGGCUGUGAGUGAAGAGCUUACCACACAAGCAUGAGGCUCUGAGCUGGACUCCUAGAGCCCAUAUUAAAAAGCUGGAGGGUGUUUCAUGUUUGUAAGCCUUGUGCCAGGGAGGUGGGAACAGGCAGGUACCUGGAACUCACUGGCUGACCAGGCAGCCUAGUCUGGUCAUAGUGUCCCAGAGAUCUCAAACCUUCUAUCUCCCUUCCCCCCAAAAUAGAGGUGCUGGAGAGACGACUUAGGGUGAAGCACGCUGGCUGCUCUUGCAGAGGACACACGUUUGGCUCCCUGCAACUGCAGGGUGGCUCACAACCAUCUUGUUUGCUUGGCUUGCCAUAUUCCAAUUUGCUUGUUUUUUAUUGCUCUUAUAUUAUUACUAUAAUUAUUCCUUAGAUGUGUGUAUGGAUGUGUACCACAUGCGUGUAUGGAUGUGCACCACAUGCGUGUAUGGAUGUGCACCACACGCAUGCCUGAUGCCACAGAGGUCAGAAGAUGGUGCUGGAUCCCUUACAGUCUCAUUGAUUUUCUCAAAGAACCAACUUUUCGUUACAUGGAUUCUUUGACUUCUUGUUUGUUUGUUUCCAUUUUAUUAAUUUCAGUCCCGAGUUUGGUUAUCUCUUGCCAUAUAUGAUUGUUGGGUGUUAUUUCUUCUUUCUAUUCUAGAACUUUCCUGUGUGUUGUUGCUAAUAUGAGACACAGGGGUGGGUAAUGAGGGAGGCUGUGGAGAUCUGUGUGAUCUGCUAGAGAUGGGGCCAGAGAGGAAGGGGAAGCCUCAUCAGGUGGCCGGCUUCAGAGCUGGGAAGGAGUCUGGGGGAUUGAUCUGGAGGAGAGGAAAGAGAGAGGGGAAGAUCUGCAGUUAGCCUAUCCGCUUCAGCCCUUGUGGCUGAUGGGUUCCCAGGGAAUGCCUGUGGGGGCUAAUGACUGGGACAAAGGGAUGUGUGGAGAGGAAGCUCUGGGAGAUCCACACAGUACUGGAAAUGGGGACAGAGAGGGCAAAAUAAGUAAUCUUAAAGAAAACAAAACAUGGCAGAAGGCUUCUAGGAAACAACACACAAGGCGGACCUCUGACCUCCAUACGCACAUGGGUGCACAGGCAUCCACACAGACAGAGACACCCGUGGACGUUGACAGAUCAUUUUUUUUUCUAAUUUAUGGUAAGAGUAAACAGCCACUCUCCUGUCACAUUUUUGUGCGCCUUUUCUGUGCACUAACAUAUAUCCCUAGAGAACAUGUUUCGGUUCUGGAGAGACAGCUCCAUGGUUAGGAGAAUUUAUCAGUUUUGCAGAGGACCUGGGUUCAGUUCCCAGCACCCACAUGGUAGCUCACAACUGUCUGUGAUGUCAG